rnacentral:lncRNA from 1 species
GCAUUAGCGUCUGGCUCCAUUUCAGCUCACAAGUUUCUCUGCAAAGGAGGGAGAGUUUGUAUGAGGGAAGCUAAGAUUUUGCUUUCUCACUUCUUACCCCAUCUUGUAAAAAACAGCCUGAUGCUCUGGGGCUUCCUCACCACCCAGGAUGAACCAGCCUUUCCACUUCCAUACCAUGGUGUGCUCUGUGCCCUCUGAAAGACAAGAAACACUUGGCAGCUAGGUGUGGUGGCACACACCUGUAAUCUCAGCACCAGGGAAGCUGAGGUAGGGGAGCAUGAGUUCAAGGCCACCUUGAGCAGUGUACAAAGCCUAUGUUUUUUGAAAAGCAAGAGAAACAGAAAGAUACAGAGAGACACUUCAGAAUAACACUUGUUAAUUUAUAUCCUAUAAGAAAGAAAUCAUGCCAUCAGUGUAUAUUUGCUGGUGUGUGACCCAUUCAUAAGGUACAUACCUUAGAGUAGAGCUGCUUCUCUUAAUUUUUGUUCUGUCUUAUUCUUUACUUAUUUUAUUUCUGUUUAACUAAACAAGAUGAUUCAAAAAGAGAGCAA